rnacentral:rRNA from 1 species
UACGGGGGGAGCAAACGUUGUUCGGAAUCACUGGGCAUAAAGCGCACGUAGGCGGUCUGUUAAGUCAGGUGUGAAAGCCCCCGGCUCAACCGGGGAAUUGCAUUUGAUACUGGCAGGCUCGAGAACGGUAGGGGUGAGUGGAACUCCAGGUGGAGCGGUGAAAUGCGUAGAUAUCUGGAGGAACACCGGUGGCGAAAGCGGCUCACUGGACCGUCACUGACGCUGAGGUGCGAAAGCGAGGGUAGCAAACGGG